rnacentral:rRNA from 1 species
GCAAGUCGAGCGCACCUUCGGGUGAGCGGCGGACGGGUGAGUAACGCGUGGGAACGUACCCUUUACUGCGGAAUAGCCUCGGGAAACUGAGAGUAAUACCGCAUACGCCCUUCGGGGGAAAGAUUUAUCGGUAAAGGAUCGGCCCGCGUUAGAUUAGGUAGUUGGUGGGGUAAUGGCCUACCAAGCCUACGAUCAGUAGCUGGUUUGAGAGGAUGAUC